UACGAAGGGGGCUAGCGUUGUUCGGAAUUACUGGGCGUAAAGCGCGCGUAGGCGGUCAUGUAAGUCAGGGGUGAAAUCCCAGAGCUUAACUCUGGAAUGGCCUUUGAGACUGCAUGGCUCGAGAGCGGGAGAGGUGAGUGGAAUUCCCAGUGUAGAGGUGAAACUCGUAGAUAUUGGGAAGAACACCGGUGGCGAAGGCGGCUCACUGGCCCGUUUCUGACGCUCAG
rnacentral:rRNA from 1 species